rnacentral:lncRNA from 1 species
AUGUCACCUCCUGAUCAACCCCAGACAAUGGCUAUAGAGCAAGAAGAGGGUUCUCAAUAUAACCGCAGGAGCUAUGUCAUAUAUGCGUUGCUUAAAAAUUUGCUUGUUUUUGCGUUUCUUCUCUUCAGAAUUCCUUGCACAACCUUAAUGAAGAUAGUUGUUAUGAAAAAUCUGGAGGAAGAGACGUUAGACUUGUUCAGAGUGACUGUAUUAGACAGACAUAUGAACGCUGAUCAGAAGUCAACAUGCUGGAUUUCAUGCGGCAAGUUCCCAGCAGAAUUCUCUAGGGAUGGAAUACAUUAUCUAAAAAGGGUGAAUAAAUUAUUGUCCUUUAAUCUCAAUCUCAGUAUCAGACUAUCUAUUCAUAUGGAAAUAUGCUUGCUGUUAAGAGUGGUUGCUCUGGGGGAAGAGAAAGCAAAUCACUAG